GUCGUUGUAGUAUAGUGAUGAGUAUUCUCGCCUGUCACGCGAGUGACGCGGGUUCGAUCCCUGGCAGUGGAG
rnacentral:tRNA from 1 species